GGAGAUAGCUCAGUGGUAAAGCACUUGUCUCACAUACAUGAAGCCCUGGAUUCAAUCCCCAGUACCACCA
rnacentral:tRNA from 1 species